AUUGAACGCUGGCGGCAUGCCUAACACAUGCAAGUCGAACGAUUGGCGGACGGGUGAGUAAUGUCUGGGAAAAUGCCCGAUGGCGGGGGAUAACUACUGGAAACGGUAGCUAAUACCGCAUACCAUCGGAUGUGCCCAGAUGGGAUUAGCUAGUGGGUGGGGUAACGGCGCACCUAGGCGACGAUCCCUAGCUGGUUUGAGAGGAUGACCAGCCCAAGUGGAACUGAGACACGGUCCGGACUCCUACGGGAGGCAGCAGUGGGGAAUAUUGGACAAUGGGCGAAAACCUGAUGCAGCCAUGCCGCGUGGAUGAGGAAGGCCUUCGGGUUGUAAAGUACUUUCAGCAGGGAGGCGUUACUCGCAGAAGAAGCACCGGCUAACUCCGUGCCAGCAGCCGCGGUAAUUC
rnacentral:rRNA from 1 species